AGAGUUUGAUCAUGGCUCAGAUUGAACGCUGGCGGCAGGCUUAACACAUGCAAGUCGAGCGGGGGAAGGUAGCUUGCUACUGGACCUAGCGGCGGACGGGUGAGUAAUGCUUAGGAAUCUGCCUAUUAGUGGGGGACAACAUCUCGAAAGGGAUGCUAAUACCGCAUACGUCCUACGGGAGAAAGCAGGGGAUCUUCGGACCUUGCGCUAAUAGAUGAGCCUAAGUCGGAUUAGCUAGUUGGUGGGGUAAAGGCCUACCAAGGCGACGAUCUGUAGCGGGUCUGAGAGGAUGAUCCGCCACACUGGGACUGAGACACGGCCCAGACUCCUACGGGAGGCAGCAGUGGGGAAUAUUGGACAAUGGGGGGAACCCUGAUCCAGCCAUGCCGCGUGUGUGAAGAAGGCCUUAUGGUUGUAAAGCACUUUAAGCGAGGAGGAGGCUACUUUAGUUAAUACCUAGAGAUAGUGGACGUUACUCGCAGAAUAAGCACCGGCUAACUCUGUGCCAGCAGCCGCGGUAAUACAGAGGGUGCGAGCGUUAAUCGGAUUUACUGGGCGUAAAGCGUGCGUAGGCGGCUUAUUAAGUCGGAUGUGAAAUCCCCGAGCUUAACUUGGGAAUUGCAUUCGAUACUGGUGAGCUAGAGUAUGGGAGAGGAUGGUAGAAUUCCAGGUGUAGCGGUGAAAUGCGUAGAGAUCUGGAGGAAUACCGAUGGCGAAGGCAGCCAUCUGGCCUAAUACUGACGCUGAGGUACGAAAGCAUGGGGAGCAAACAGGAUUAGAUACCCUGGUAGUCCAUGCCGUAAACGAUGUCUACUAGCCGUUGGGGCCUUUGAGGCUUUAGUGGCGCAGCUAACGCGAUAAGUAGACCGCCUGGGGAGUACGGUCGCAAGACUAAAACUCAAAUGAAUUGACGGGGGCCCGCACAAGCGGUGGAGCAUGUGGUUUAAUUCGAUGCAACGCGAAGAACCUUACCUGGCCUUGACAUACUAGAAACUUUCCAGAGAUGGAUUGGUGCCUUCGGGAAUCUAGAUACAGGUGCUGCAUGGCUGUCGUCAGAUCGUGUCGUGAGAUGUUGGGUUAAGUCCCGCAACGAGCGCAACCCUUUUCCUUACUUGCCAGCAUUUCGGAUGGGAACUUUAAGGAUACUGCCAGUGACAAACUGGAGGAAGGCGGGGACGACGUCAAGUCAUCAUGGCCCUUACGGCCAGGGCUACACACGUGCUACAAUGGUCGGUACAAAGGGUUGCUACACAGCGAUGUGAUGCUAAUCUCAAAAAGCCGAUCGUAGUCCGGAUUGGAGUCUGCAACUCGACUCCAUGAAGUCGGAAUCGCUAGUAAUCGCGGAUCAGAAUGCCGCGGUGAAUACGUUCCCGGGCCUUGUACACACCGCCCGUCACACCAUGGGAGUUUGUUGCACCAGAAGUAGCUAGCCUAACUGCAAAGAGGGCGGUUACCACGGUGUGGCCGAUGACUGGGGUGAAGUCGUAACAAGGUAGCCGUAGGGGAACCUGCGGCUGGAUCACCU
rnacentral:rRNA from 1 species